CUCAGAACGCUGGCUCCUGCCCCGCUGGGGUUUCAGGGCUCUCAGUCCUCUUCCAGUGCACCCGGAGGCGGUGGGUCGGCAGCUCACUCUCCUUUUCUCUCAUUCCUGCUUCCCUGAAACUACACUUCCCUGGAACUUAGAAGCUAAACUAAUAGGAGAGCAAAAGAUAAUGUGGCUCUCCCAUUCGUCAACUUUGAGAAGGUGGUGGGAUUUCAGGAACAUUUUGAAGGGAAAAGAAGACCCGGACUUUGUUGAAGUAAUCUACCUUUAAGGGCUGUGCUAACAGGAAGGCCUGUGAUGUUUGCAAUCAAACCAUUAUGAAGUCAAGAAUGGAGCUUCCAUUUUUAAAGAACUCAGAGGGGGCAGAUCUUGAUUGACAUCUCAUCUGGGGUCACCUGGUCUUCAAUUGAGAGAUCUUUUUGUUCGCCACGGAUGCCUCUUGCAGUUAUGGAAGGAAUAGUCUUUAUGCCACUUUUGCUUGGUUGUCCCAACAACCCUACCUUGAAGUGAUAUAAACUACCUUCCUCUAAACAAACUUGGUGGUACUUGGUACUCAGGGGCUGCCUAUUUAGUGCACCCUUGUGCAAUAAAGUUACACCUGAGGGGAUCCACCGCACUCUUGCCUCAUCUUCUGAACCAAGGGCUCCAAGUCCUCGAGAAUAGUAAGACAAACCAACAUCCGUGGGCUAGAGGUUAUGAUGGAGAAACAAGGCUUCCCUGACCAGAGGUCGUUUUGAAUUUCCUUCUCUGGAAUUUGACCACUGAGCAGAGACACAUAGGAGAGAAGAUGUGAAUGCUGAGUCAUCAAUCAGCAUCCCUGGGAAGAAAAAGCCUCUCAGUUUCUUCUGCUGGGACUCCCAGAGCUGGAGUAUUUUCUGCUCUUCCUAAGGUCUGGUAAUUCAGCUCUUUGUGAGACUGUGAGCUUUACCAUACCCUUCCAGUAGCAACCUUCUUUUUUAAGUUCAUUGCAGGGAGUAGGGAGUGAUGGCUAAUGGACAUAGGGUUUCUUUUUGGGGUGACAAAAUGUUCUAAAAUUAAGUGGUGGUGAUGGUUGCACAAUUUUGAAUAUACUAAAAACUAGUGAAUUCUAAAGUUUAAACAGGUGAAUUCUAUGCUAUGUAAAUUGUAUCUCAAUGAAAUUACUAAUACUCUAAAGCCUCCCAAGUGCCUUAGAUGUUCAGUGAAUGUUGAAAGCCAGUUAUUUAUCACAUAUCCUUAAGUCCUGCUACCUGUCACUCAGUCUCUAAGUUCAGUUUCCUCUUUGGUUUGACUUGGACCAAUCUGCAACAACUCUUGAUGUUUCUUGUAAAUUCUUUGACUAACUCCCAGAGUGUCCCCUGUCUAUCUGAUACACAUUUAGCUUCUCCUUUCAGGCCUCAAACAGCAUGUUUAGAACAGAACCUAUCUUCUUCUCCCCAACCUGCUUUACCUUUUCUAUUUCUCACUCAGUUACUGGCACAAACUUCUACAUAUAUGUUUAAGAAGACCACUCCUUUGACUUUCCCUGCUCCUUCUAACUUACAUCCAAUUAAUCAAAACGUUAUAUCAGUUUUAUUUCUGAAACAAUCUCUCCCAUCUUCUUUAUCUCUUCGUUCCACUGCCAGAUCUCAGAGUCCACCCUUUACUAUUUUAUGUUGGAUUAAGGCAAACCUCCUGUAAAGAGCUUCCCUGUCUCCUGCAGUCUCAUCCUCCAGUCCCCCUCCAUGCCCACACUGAAGUCCUCUUCCUAAAACAGGAAUAGGAUUAACUCACUCUCCUCCCCCAAAACUGUUAGCGGCUCUGCACUGAGUACUGGAUCAAGUCUAAUGUAAUGAGAAGGCCCUAUUCAAUCUAGGCCAAACUUCCCUUCUUAGCCUAGUGUCCUCCUAUGCCCCCUGUACAGACCUUAGCUCCAAUCACACUAAUCACUGCCAUUACCCAGACACACUAUGCUAGUCCACAUUCACGUGCCCCCAGUUCACACCUCCCCUUUUCCUGGAAUGCCAUGUCCAUGUGGCCUAGAGGAUGACCUAAAGUUAGUGCUAGCAAAGAGCUUAUCAGUAGUGGGGCAGGUCACAGGGGAGAGCAGGUUCUGGAGCUAGGGUGAGGAGGUGUCAAUGAGAAGAAGGGUGAUUUAUUAAGAAGUAAGCUCAUUUCAAGCCAUACCCUUGAAACCUGAUGCCCAAAGAGGAGGCAGAGACCCAAUCAACUGCUGAUAUAGCUUGUGGCGGUGAGCAGGCUGGAGACUUGAGAGAACAAUAGAGUGAGGCAAGUGUAACCAAUAAAUUAAUUCCUUACCAACCUAGGAUCGCUGGAGCAUGGAGUGCCCCAGGCCUGGUGGCACCAAGACUUUAAAAAGAAAAACCAUUAAACAGUGAAAAUCUGU